AUUGAACGCUGGCGGCAUGCUUUACACAUGCAAGUCGAACGGCAGCGCGGGCUUCGGCCUGGCGGCGAGUGGCGAACGGGUGAGUAAUACAUCGGAACGUGCCCAGUAGUGGGGGAUAGCUCGGCCAAAGCCGGAUUAAUACCGCAUACGACCUGAGGGUGAAAGCGGGGGAUCUUCGGACCUCGCGCUAUUGGAGCGGCCGAUGGCAGAUUAGCUAGUUGGUGGGGUAAAGGCCUACCAAGGCGACGAUCUGUAGCUGGUCUGAGAGGACGACCAGCCACACUGGGACUGAGACACGGCCCAGACUCCUACGGGAGGCAGCAGUGGGGAAUUUUGGACAAUGGGCGAAAGCCUGAUCCAGCAAUGCCGCGUGUGUGAUGAAGGCCUUCGGGUUGUAAAGCACUUUUGGCGGGAACGAAAAGGACUGUGCCAAUACCACGGUUCGAUGACGGUACCCGCAGAAUAAGCACCGGCUAACUACGUG
rnacentral:rRNA from 1 species